rnacentral:rRNA from 1 species
GGGGUAAAAUUAAUUAGGUUAAAGUUAAUAAAAUAAAUUUUAAAAUUAAAAAUAAAUAAUGGGGGUUAAAGUAUUUUUAAUAGAAAAAAUUUAAAAUUUUAUAGUUAAUUAAGUAUUGUAGGAGAAAUUUGAAAUAAGUGAAAAUAAAUUAAUUAAAAAGAAAAUUUAAUUUAUUGUAUCUUGUGUAUCAGAGUUUAUUAAAUAAAUUUUUUAGUUAAAAAAAUCUCGAAUUUAAAAGAGCUAAUUAAUUAAUAAAGUUAAUGUAACAUAAUUAUUUUAAAUAAUUAAUUAGAAAUGAAAUGUUAAUCGUUUUUAAAUAUAUCUAGUUAUUUCAGAAAAAAAUUAAAUUUUGAAUUUAAAUAAUUUUAAAAUUUCAUAAUAAAAAUUAUAAAAAUUUAAAUUUAAUAUAUUAAGGGAUAAGCUUUAAAUUAAAAAUUUAUAAUAAAUUAAUUAAAAUAUUAAAAUUUUUAAAAUUUAUAUUGUUUAAAAAUUAUAAUUUAUUAUAAAAAAUUUUAAUAAAAAUAAAAUUUAAUUAAAAAAUUUAAAUUUAUAUGAAAUAAUAAUUUUUAAUUGGAUAAAAUUAAUUAUAAUGAUAAAAUUAGUAUAAAUAAAAAUUAAAAAUAUUAAAUAAAAUUUAAAAUAAUAAAAAGGAAUUCGGCAAAAUAAGUAUUCACUUGUUUAUCAAAAACAUGUCUUUUUGAUAAUAAUUUAAAGUCUAAUCUGCCCACUGAUAAUUAUUAAAGGGCUGCAGUAUAAUGACUGUACAAAGGUAGCAUAAUCAAUAGUUUUUUAAUUGGAAACUUGUAUGAAAGAUUUGAUGAAAUAUAGACUGUCUCUUAAUUAUUUAUAAAAAUUUAUUUUUUAGUAAAAAAGCUAAGAUAAUUUUAAAAGACGAGAAGACCCUAUAGAGUUUUAUAUUUAAUUUUAUUUUAAAAUUAUAUUAAAAUUUUUAUUAAAAUAGGAUAAAGUAUUUUAUUGGGGUGAUAGAAAAAUUAAAUUAACUUUUUUUAAAAAAUAAACAUAAAUAGGUGAGUAAAUGAUCCAUUAAUAAUGAUUAUAAGAAAAAAUUACCUUAGGGAUAACAGCGUAAUUUUUUUUUUUAGUUCAAAUAAAAAAAAAAGAUUGCGACCUCGAUGUUGGAUUAAGAUAAAAUUUAAAUGCAAAAGUUUAAAAUUUUGAUCUGUUCGAUCAUUAAAAUCUUACAUGAUCUGAGUUCAAACCGGUGUAAGCCAGGUUGGUUUCUAUCUUUAAAUAAAAGUAAUAUUUUAGUACGAAAGGAUCAAAUAUUAAAAAUAAUUUUAAAAUAAGAAUAUUAAUAAUUAAUAAUAAAAUCACUAUUUUGGCAGAGGAAUGUAAUGGUUU